rnacentral:rRNA from 1 species
AGCCUGAUGCAGCCAUGCCGCGUGUAUGAAGAAGGCCUUCGGGUUGUAAAGUACUUUCAGUUGUGAGGAAGGUUUCGUAGUUAAUAACUGCGUUGCUUGACGGUAGCAACAGAAGAAGCACCGGCUAACUCCGUGCCAGCAGCCGCGGUAAUACGGAGGGUGCGAGCGUUAAUCGGAAUUACUGGGCGUAAAGCGCAUGCAGGUGGUUUGUUAAGUCAGAUGUGAAAGCCCGGGGCUCAACCUCGGAAGGUCAUUUGAAACUGGCAAACUAGAGUACUGUAGAGGGGGGUAGAAUUUCAGGUGUAGCGGUGAAAUGCGUAGAGAUCUGAAGGAAUACCAGUGGCGAAGGCGGCCCCCUGGACAGAUACUGACACUCAGAUGCGAAAGCGUGGGGAGCAAACAGGAUUAGAUACCCUGGUAGUCCACGCCGUAAACGAUGUCUACUUGGAGGUUGUGGCCUUGAGCCGUGGCUUUCGGAGCUAACGCGUUAAGUAGACCGCCUGGGGAGUACGGUCGCAAGAUUAAAACUCAAAUGAAUUGACGGGGGCCCGCACAAGCGGUGGAGCAUGUGGUUUAAUUCGAUGCAACGCGAAGAACCUUACCUACUCUUGACAUCCAGAGAAGCCAGCGGAGACGCAGGUGUGCCUUCGGGAACUCUGAGACAGGUGCUGCAUGGCUGUCGUCAGCUCGUGUUGUGAAAUGUUGGGUUAAGUCCCGCAACGAGCGCAACCCUUAUCCUUGUUUGCCAGCGAGUAAUGUCGGGAACUCCAGGGAGACUGCCGGUGAUAAACCGGAGGAAGGUGGGGACGACGUCAAGUCAUCAUGGCCCUUACGAGCAGGGCUACACACGUGCUACAAUGGCGCAUACAGAGG